ensembl:miRNA Gm22420 predicted gene, 22420
GGUUUUUCUGUAUAGCCCUGGCUGUCCUGGAACUCACUCUGUAGACCAGGCUGGCCUUGAACUCAGAAAUCCGCCUGCCUCUGCCUCCCGAGUGCUGGGAUUAAAGGCGUGCGCCACCACUGCCCG